UUGCUCUGUCUCUCCCUGAUUCCCUUCCCCUUUGUGCACUUACACCUAUUCCUAGAAUCUUAAAUUUUGCCAAUCCCUUAUGAGCCUUGCUUUGGGACCUUGAGUUUCCUCUUAACUUGGACAUCUGAGAGCUGGCCUUACCACACUGCACUAUGUUCUUGAUUCUGAAAUGUUUUGGGGUGUAAGCGCUGCCCGGAACCCUUUGAGACUCUUGGGAACUUUGAUACACCCCCAAAUCUGAGAAGGUCUUUUGGAAAUCUGAUCCUGG
rnacentral:lncRNA from 1 species